AAAAAACAGAUAAGAAGAAUUUUGAGCACCCUGAAGUAUGAUAUACAAAAUCUACAUACACGCAUGGAUGUUCUAGAAUUUCUGCUUGAGAAAAUUGAUGGUAAACUUUCUGAACAAUCAAACAUCAUUACUUCAGACAAAGAAGAUAUUUAUAUUAUUGAUAAUGACGAAAAUUUACAUAAAGCAGAAGAUAAAUUAACUAAACAUGCCUUAUACCGAUUUAUUAUGGUAUGCCAGUCAAAUAAAUAAAUAUACAAUCUUUGUACGUGUACAUAUUUUAUUAUUUUAAAGAUCAGAAUUUUGUUUCAUGCAAUACUUUGGCAGACUCUUCAAUGAAAAUAAUGCAAAUACUAUUCAGCGAUUCAUUUUUAAUGAUGUAUUCUUUUAUUGGUUCUAAAGGAAAAAACCAAUUUUCUAUAUGACAAUGUUGCACUGUUAUAUUUGUAAACUAGAUGUCUUUCAAAAAUCUGUCAAAGCAUCUUUACAAGUUAUUUGCAUAAAUGAAGACAGAAAUAAAAUUUUUAAAGAGUACUACACUCAGAAAUUGCAGCUCUUAGAAAAGAUUGCCAUUGCCAAAGAGAGGAAGUUCGCUUUAAUAGAAGCAAACAUAAGUAUUAUAAAUAAAAAUUCAAAUUAAUAAUUCUAUAAGACAAAGAUAUUUAAUUUAAAUUUAAAUUCCUAAUGUUUAAAUGAAAAAACUAAAUAUCAUUAAUUUUUAAUUUGUGAUACAUUUUAUGGUAUAAGACCACUAACUACUAUGAACGUAUACAUUAAAUAUACAUUGUUAAUAAUGUGCUUAUCUAAAUAAAUAAACUAUUGAUGUUUUAA